CGGAAAGAGGUAGUCGAGUGGGGAAAGGGAAAACAAAGUAAUUAUAUAUAUAUAUAUAUAUAUAUCUAAUGUAUUCAUCUUUAUGUCUAGGAAUUUUCUUUCCUUUUUUCUUUUGUGAAAAGUUAUAAACGAAGCAGAGAAGAUGGUUGGAUUUCAUAUUGAAAGUUGCUGCUUUAUUCUUUUCAAAAUUAUAUUCUGCUCGGCAUUUGUUAUUGGUCCUAUUGCCUUUAUUCAAUUUUGGUGUUGAUUUCCAAUUUUCAUCGACCCAUUAUAAUUUAUAUAUGGCAGAAUCUUGUGUUUCAAAAGCUUCUACUGAUAAGACACAAUCUGCCAUAUAUAUGUGAGGGAGGGGUUUGGUUUGGCAAAAUAUUUUUUAUGCUUAUCCAAAAAUGUGUCUGGGUCUGAGGCACUGAGAGGGUGAAGAGGUAGAGUCCAUAUUCCUUCCCCCUUUUUUUUUUAUUUUAUAAAAAGUUAAGUUGUCUGCCACUUAUUUACACUCUUUUCAUUUUU
rnacentral:lncRNA from 1 species